UACGAAGGGGGCUAGCGUUGCUCGGAAUCACUGGGCGUAAAGCGCACGUAGGCGGAUUGCUAAGUCAGGGGUGAAAUCCUGGAGCUCAACUCCAGAACUGCCUUUGAUACUGGCGAUCUUGAGUCCGGGAGAGGUGAGUGGAACUGCGAGUGUAGAGGUGAAAUUCGUAGAUAUUCGCAAGAACACCAGUGGCGAAGGCGGCUCACUGGCCCGGUACUGACGCUGAGACGCGAAAGCGUGGGGAGCGAACAGG
rnacentral:rRNA from 1 species